rnacentral:lncRNA from 1 species
AGCAUAUGACUAUUUUUUGAAAGAUUACAUCUGAAAGACUGAGCCUAAACAAUUGACCAAGGAUCCUACCAUAAAACUAGCAGCUAUAAUAGAUAGGAUAGUUAAACACAAACUCUUUCCACCAAUAUGGAGACAUCAAAAGAUAACUGUGCUGGCAUGCCUCAGGCUCUUUGCUUAUAUCAAAACACAUAAAAGCCUGUUAAUAGCAAGAGCAGUUGUAGAGAAAAGAGAUGCAUCCCAUACAACUUAGAGAGGGUCAUAGACCAAUGAUGCACAAUGAUCUUAGGACAAAUAGACACUUCAAUAACCAUAGCAGCAGAUGCCUUAGCAAAAAUAUCUGAGACUGAAUGGCAACAUCAGGAUAUAAUGGUAACCUAUGACUUUGAGAGCCUAUGCCAGUCUCUAUGCCUAGAGCCAACAUGCGUGGCCUUUUAUAAAUUCUUAUUAGAAAACAUCCCUGAUGCCAAACAAGAGCACCAGUACUAAGGGCUAAACCCACCUGAUAUGCCACAAGUCAUAUUAUAAAUUUAAGGGAAGAUUUUACCAGCAGACUAGAGGGGACCCAAUAGGA